GUUAGGGUUAAAAUCACUGUCCAAAACCUUUGUAGGAACUCUUUUCCAACCUUUUGGAGUUAGUUAGACCAAAAAAAAAUUAAAAAUUAAAAAACAAUAUUUGGGGUUUUCGGGGUUCCUGAAUGUAAUACCCGGGUAUUAGAUUUUAAGGCUAGGGUAAGGUUUAAGGUUUUUGGCGUUAGGGUUAAAAUCACUGUCCAAAACCUUUGUAGGAACUCUUUUCCAACCUUUUGGAGUUAGUUAGACCAAAAAAAAAAAAAAGAAAAAUGAAAAAAAAAUAUUUUGGGUGUUCAGGCUUCCUAAAAGUAAUACCCUGGUAUUAGGUUAUGGGGCUAUGGUAAGGUUUAAGGUUUUUGGCGUUAGGGUUGAAAUCACUGUCCAAAACCUUUGUAGGAACUCUUUUCCAACCUUUUGGAGUUAGUUAGACCAAAAAAAAAAAAAAAAUGAAAAAAAAAAAUAUUUGGGGUUUACGGGGUUCCUGAAUGUAAUACCCGGGUAUUAGAUUUUAAGGCUAGGGUAAGGUUUAAGGUUUUUGGCGUUAGGGUUAAAAUCACUGUCCAAAACCUUUGUAGGAACUCUUUUCCAACCUUUUGGAGUUAGUUAGACCAAAAAAUAUGAAAAAAGAAAAAAAUAUUAUUGGGGGUUUUCGGGCUUCCUGAAAGUAAUACCCGGGUAUUAGGUUUUGGGGCUAUGGUAAGGUUUAAGUUUUUUGGCGUUAGGGUUAAAAUCACUGUCCAAAACCUUUGUAGGAACUCUUUUCCAACCUUUUGGAGUUAGUUAGACCAAAAAAAAAUUAAAAAUUAAAAAACAAUAUUUGGGGUUUUCGGGGUUCCUGAAUGUAAUACCCGGGUAUUAGAUUUUAAGGCUAGGGUAAGGUUUAAGUUUUUUGGCGUUAGGGUUAAAAUCACUGUCCAAAACCUUUGUAGGAACUCUUUUCCAACCUUUUGGAGUUAGUUAGACCAAAAAAAAAAAGAAAAAUGAAAAAAAAAUAUUUGGGGUGUUCAGGCUUCCUAAAAGUAAUACCUGGGUAUUAGGUUAUGGGGCUAUGGUAAGGUUUAAGGUUUUUGGCGUUAGGGUUAAAAUCACUGUCCAAAACCUUUGUAGGAACUCUUUUCCAACCUUUUGGAGUUAGUUAGACCAAAAAAAAAUGAAAAAUGAAAAAAUAUAUAUUUGGGGUUUACGGGCUUCCUGAAUGUAAUACCCGGGUAUUAGAUUUUAAGGCCAGGGAAAGGUUUAAGUUUUUUGGCGUUAGGGUUAAAAUCACUGUCCAAAACCUUUGUAGGAACUCUUUUCCAACCUUUUGGAGUUAGUUAGACCAAAAAAUAUGAAAAAAGAAAAAAAUAUUAUUGGGGUUUUCGGGCUCCCUGAAAGUAAUACCCGGGUAUUAGGUUUUGGGGCUAUGGUAAGGUUUAAGUUUUUUGGCGUUAGGGUUAAAAUCACUGUCCAAAACCUUUGUAGGAACUCUUUUCCAACCUUUUGGAGUUAGUUAGACCAAAAAAAAAAGAAAAAUGAAAAAAAAAUAUUUGGGGUGUUCAGGCUUCCUGAAAGUAAUACCCGGGUAUUAGGUUAUGGGGCUAUGGUAAGGUUUAAGUUUUUUGGCGUUAGGGUUAAAAUCACUGUCCAAAACCUUUGUAGGAACUCUUUUCCAACCUUUUGGAGUUAGUUAGACCAAAAAGUAUGAAAAAAGAAAAAAAUAUUAUUGGGGGUUUUCGGGCUCCCUGAAAGUAAUACCCGGGUAUUAGGUUUUGGGGCUAUGGUAAGGUUUAAGUUUUUUGGCGUUAGGGUUAAAAUCACUGUCCAAAACCUUUGUAGGAACUCUUUUCCAACCUUUUGGAGUUAGUUAGACCAAAAAAAAAGAAAAAUGAAAAAAAAAUAUUUGGGGUGUUCAGGCUUCCUAAAAGUAAUACCCGGGUAUUAGGUUAUGGGGCUAUGGUAAGGUUUAAGUUUUUUGGCGUUAGGGUUAAAAUCACUGUCCAAAACCUUUGUAGGAACUCUUUUCCAACCUUUUGGAGUUAGUUAGACCAAAAAAAAUGAAAAAUGAAAAAAAAAUAUUUGGGGUGUUCAGGCUUCCUGAAAGUAAUACCCGGGUAUUAGGUUAUGGGGCUAUGGUAAGGUUUAAGGUUUUGGCGUUAGGGUUAAAAUCACUGUCCAAAACCUUUGUAGGAACUCUUUUCCAACCUUUUGGAGUUAGUUAGACCAAAAAAAGAAUGAAAAAUGAAAAAAAAAUAUUUGGGGUUUCCAGGCUGCCUGAGGGUAAUACCUGGGUAGUGGAUUUUAUGGGGCUAGGGUAAGGUUUAAGUUUUUGGCGUUAGGGUUAAAAUCACUGUCCAAAACCUUUGUAGGAACUCUUUUCCAACCUUUUGGAGUUAGUUAGACCAAAAAAUAUGAAAAAAGAAAAAAAUAUUAUUGGGGGUUUUCGGGCUCCCUGAAAGUAAUACCCGGGUAUUAGGUUUUGGGGCUAUGGUAAGGUUUAAGUUUUUUGGCGUUAGGGUUAAAAUCACUGUCCAAAACCUUUGUAGGAACUCUUUUCCAACCUUUUGGAGUUAGUUAGACCAAAAAAAAAUGAAAAAUUAAAAAACAAUAUUUGGGGUUUUCGGGGUUCCUGAAUGUAAUACCCGGGUAUUAGAUUUUAAGGCUAGGGUAAGGUUUAAGGUUUUUGGCGUUAGGGUUAAAAUCACUGUCCAAAACCUUUGUAGGAACUCUUUUCCAACCUUUUGGAGUUAGUUAGACCAAAAAAUAUGAAAAAAGAAAAAAAAUAUUUGGGGUUUUCGGGCUUCCUGAAAGUAAUACCCGGGUAUUAUGUUUUGGGGCUAUGGUAAUGUUUAAGGUUUUUGGCGUUAGGUUUAAAAUCACUGUCCAAAACCUUUGUAGGAACUCUUUUUCAACCUUUUGGAGUUAGUUAGACCAAAAAAUAUGAAAAAAGAAAAAAAUAUUAUUGGGGGUUUUCGGGCUUCCUGAAAGUAAUACCCGGGUAUUAGGUUUUGGGGCUAUGGUAAGGUUUAAGUUUUUUGGCGUUAGGGUUAAAAUCACUGUCCAAAACCUUUGUAGGAACUCUUUUCCAACCUUUUGGAGUUAGUUAGACCAAAAAAAAAUGAAAAAUUAAAAAACAAUAUUUGGGGUUUUCGGGGUUCCUGAAUGUAAUACCCGGGUAUUAGGUUUUGGGGCUAGGGUAAGGUUUAAGUUUUUUGGCGUUAGGGUUAAAAUCACUGUCCAAAACCUUUGUAGGAACUCUUUUCCAACCUUUUGGAGUUAGUUAGACCAAAAAAUAUGAAAAAAGAAAAAAAUAUAUUGGGGUUUUCGGGCUUCCUGAAAGUAAUACCCGGGUAUUAGGUUUUGGGGCUAUGGUAAGGUUUAAGUUUUUUGGCGUUAGGGUUAAAAUCACUGUCCAAAACCUUUGUAGGAACUCUUUUCCAACCUUUUGGAGUUAGUUAGACCAAAAAAAAAUGAAAAAUGAAAAAAAACAUAUUUGGGGUUUUCGGGCUUCCUGGAAGUAAUACCCGGGUAUUAGAUUUUAAGGCUAGGGUAAGGUUUAAGGUUUUUGGCGUUAGGGUUAAAAUCACUGUCCAAAACCUUUGUAGGAACUCUUUUCCAACCUUUUGGAGUUAGUUAGACCAAAAAAAAAAGAAAAAUGAAAAAAAAAUAUUUUGGGUGUUCAGGCUUCCUAAAAGUAAUACCCGGGUAUUAGGUUAUGGGGCUAUGGUAAGGUUUAAGGUUUUGGCGUUAGGUUUAAAAUCACUGUCCAAAACCUUUGUAGGAACUCUUUUCCAACCUUUUGGAGUUAGUUAGACCAAAAAAAAAUGAAAAAUGAAAAAAAAAAAUAUUUGGGGUUUACGGGCUUCCUGAAUGUAAUACCCGGGUAUUAGAUUUUAAGGCCAGGGUAAGGUUUAAGUUUUUUGGCGUUAGGGUUAAAAUCACUGUCCAAAACCUUUGUAGGAACUCUUUUCCAACCUUUUGGAGUUAGUUAGACCAAAAAAAAAAAGAAAAAUUAAAAAACAAUAUUUGGGGUUUUCGGGGUUCCUGAAUGUAAUACCCGGGUAUUAGGUUAUGGGGCUAUGGUAAGGUUUAAGGUUUUUGGCGUUAGGGUUAAAAUCACUGUCCAAAACCUUUGUAGGAACUCUUUUCCAACCUUUUGGAGUUAGUUAGACCAAAAAAAAAAGAAAAAUGAAAAAAAAAUAUUUGGGGUGUUCAGGCUUCCUAAAAGUAAUACCCGGGUAUUAGGUUAUGGGGCUAUGGUAAGGUUUAAGGUUUUUGGCGUUAGGGUUAAAAUCACUGUCCAAAACCUUUGUAGGAACUCUUUUUCAACCUUUUGGAGUUAGUUAGACCAAAAAAAAAAUGAAAAAUGAAAAAAUAUAUAUUUGGGGUUUACGGGCUUCCUGAAUGUAAUACCCGGGUAUUAGAUUUUAAGGCCAGGGAAAGGUUUAAGUUUUUUGGCGUUAGGGUUAAAAUCACUGUCCAAAACCUUUGUAGGAACUCUUUUCCAACCUUUUGGAGUUAGUUAGACCAAAAAAUAUGAAAAAAGAAAAAAAUAUUAUUGGGGGUUUUCGGGCUCCCUGAAAGUAAUACCCGGGUAUUAGGUUUUGGGGCUAUGGUAAGGUUUAAGUUUUUUGGCGUUAGGGUUAAAAUCACUGUCCAAAACCUUUGUAGGAACUCUUUUCCAACCUUUUGGAGUUAGUUAGACCAAAAAAAAAUGAAAAAUUAAAAAAAAAUAUUUGGGGUUUUCGGGCUUCCUGAAUGUAAUACCCGGGUAUUAGAUUUUAAGGCUAGGGUAAGGUUUAAGGUUUUUGGCGUUAGGGUUAAAAUCACUGUCCAAAACCUUUGUUAGGAACUCUUUUCCAACCUUUUGGAGUUAGUUAGACCAAAAAAAAAAAGAAAAAUGAAAAAAAAAUAUUUGGGUGUUCAGGCUUCCUAAAAGUAAUACCCGGGUAUUAGGUUAUGGGGCUAUGGUAAGGUUUAACGUUUUGGCGUUAGGUUUAAAAUCACUGUCCAAAACCUUUGUAGGAACUCUUUUCCAACCUUUUGGAGUUGGUUACACCAACAAAAAUGUAAAAUGAAAAAAAAAUAUUUGGGGUGUUCAGGCUUCCUAAAAGUAAUACCCGGGUAUUAGGUUAUGGGGCUAUGGUAAGGUUUAACGUUUUGGCGUUAGGUUUAAAAUCACUGUCCAAAACCUUUGUAGGAACUCUUUUCCAACCUUUUGGAGUUAGUUAGACCAAAAAAAGAAUGAAAAAUGAAAAAAAAAUAUUUGGGGUUUCCGGGCUUCCUGAAGGUAAUACAAGGGUAUUAUGUUAUGGGGCUAGAGUAAGGUUUAAGUUUUUUGGCGUUAGGGUUAAAAUCACUGUCCAAAACCUUUGUAGGAACUCUUUUCCAACCUUUUGGAGUUAGUUAGACCAAAAAAAAAUGAAAAAUGAAAAAAAAAUAUUUUGGGUGUUCAGGCUUCCUAGAAGUAAUACCCGGGUAUAAGAUUAUGGGGCUAUGGUAAGGUUUAAGGUUUUUGGCAUUAGGGUUAAAAUCACUGUCCAAAACCUUUGCAGGAACUCUUUUCCAACCUUUUGGAGUUGGUUACACCAACAAAAAUGUAAAAUGAAAAAAAUAUAUAUUUUGGUUGUUCGGGCUUCCUGAAAGUAAUACCCGGGUAAUAGGUUAUGGGGCUAUGUUAAGGUUUAAGUUUUUUGGCGUUAGGGUUAAAAUCACUGUCCAAAACCUUUGUAGGAACUCUUUUCCAACCUUUUGGAGUUAGUUAGACCAAAAAAAAAAUGAAAAAUGAAAAAAAAAAUAUUUGGGGUUUACGGGCUUCCUGAAAGUAAUACCCGGGUAUUAGAUUUUAAGGCCAGGGUAAGGUUUAAGUUUUUUGGCGUUAGGGUUAAAAUCACUGUCCAAAACCUUUGUAGGAACUCUUUUCCAACCUUUUGGAGUUAGUUAGACCAAAAAAUAUGAAAAAAGAAAAAAAUAUUAUUGGGGGUUUUCGGGCUCCCUGAAAGUAAUACCCGGGUAUUAGGUUUUGGGGCUAUGGUAAGGUUUAAGUUUUUUGGCGUUAGGGUUAAAAUCACUGUCCAAAACCUUUGUAGGAACUCUUUUCCAACCUUUUGGAGUUAGUUAGACCAAAAAAUAUGAAAAAAGAAAAAAAAUAUUAUUGGGGGUUUUCGGGCUCCUGAAAGUAAUACCCGGGAAUUAGGUUUUGGGGCUAUGGUAAGGUUUAAGUUUUUUGGCGUUAGGGUUAAAAUCACUGUCCAAAACCUUUGUAGGAACUCUUUUCCAACCUUUUGGAGUUAGUUAGACCAAAAAAAAAGAAAAAUGAAAAAAAAAUAUUUGGGGUGUUCAGGCUUCCUAAAAGUAAUACCCGGGUAUUAGGUUAUGGGGCUAUGGUAAGGUUUAAGUUUUUGGCGUUAGGGUUAAAAUCACUGUCCAAAACCUUUGUAGGAACACUUUUCCAACCUUUUGGAGUUGGUUAGACCA
rnacentral:lncRNA from 1 species